rnacentral:rRNA from 1 species
GGCCUAUUGAGGAUAAUUUUAGGUCUGACCUGCCCAAUGAUUUAAAAAUUGAAUGGCCGCGGUAAUUUGACCGUGCAAAGGUAGCAUAAUCAUUAGUUUUUUAAUUGAAAGCUUGUAUGAAAGGUUUGAUGAAAAAAUGACUGUCUCAAUUUAAAUUAAUUAGAAUUUUAUUUUUAAGUAAAAAAGCUUAAAUUUUCAUAGAAGACGAGAAGACCCUAUAGAGUUUUAUAAUUAUAAGUAUGAAGAAAUUUUAGAAUUAUGAUUUUUUAUUUUAUUGAUUAUUUAAUUGGGGUGAUAAAAAAAUUAGAUAAACUUUUUUUGUAUAAGUACAUUGAUUUAUGAAAACUUGAUCCUUUAUUUAAGAUUAAAAGAUAAAAUUACCUUAGGGAUAACAGCGUAAUUUUUUUUAGAAGUUCAAAUUUAAAAAAAAGAUUGCGACCUCGAUGUUGGAUUAAAAGGAAUUAUUGGUGUAGAAGCUAAUAAAUUAGGUCUGUUCGACCUUUAAAAUUUUACAUGAUCUGAGUUUAAACCGGUGUGAG